rnacentral:misc_RNA from 1 species
GUGAAUCAUCGAAUCUUUGAACGCACAUUGCGCCCCUUGGUAUUCCGAGGGGCAUGCCUGUUCGAGCGUCAUUACAACCCUCAAGCAAUGCUUGGUGUUGGGCCGCGCCGCUAACCCGGCGGGCCCUAAAACCAGUGGCGGUGCCGUCGGGCUCUGAGCGUAGUAACUCUUCUCGCUAUAGAGCCCCGGCGGAUGCUGGCCAGCAACCCCUAAUUUUCUAUGGUUGACCUCGGAUCAGGUAGGGAUACCCGCUGAACUUAAGCAUAUCAAUAAGCGGAGGA